rnacentral:rRNA from 1 species
UUUGGCAGCCAUAUCGACCUUCAGCUCACAACUGGCAGCCCACUGAAGCUCAGCAGGUGUGAGCCUGGUCAAUACCUGGAUGGGAGACCUCCUGGGAAAAACUAAGGUUGCUGCUGGAA